UACGUAGGGUGCAAGCGUUAAUCGGAAUUACUGGGCGUAAAGCGUGCGCAGGCGGUUUUGUAAGUCUGUCGUGAAAGCCCCGGGCUCAACCUGGGAAUUGCGAUGGAGACUGCAAGGCUUGAAUCUGGCAGAGGGGGGUAGAAUUCCACGUGUAGCAGUGAAAUGCGUAGAGAUGAUGGAGGAACACCGAUGGCGAAGGCAGCCCCCUGGGUCAAGAUUGACGCUCAUGCCACGAAAGCGUGGGGAGCAAACAGGA
rnacentral:rRNA from 1 species